AGAUACAUGAAGAAAUAAACGCUCCAACUAUCCUCCACCGGUCUUUUUUUUGGACGGAGAUGUCUCGCGCGGAAUAACGGAUUUGUGAAGCUAUGGCGCUCGGGCACGGCUCCAAAAAGUCGCGCUCCUGUGAUUUGGAGGUAGCACCAGCUCCUGUGGACCUGCCAUUGGAAUGGGUGGGGCCCAGUAAUGAAGCCUCCAUGACGUCCUCUAAGAUGUUGAGACGACCCUGCAGGUGUCUCCUAGCCUUCCUUGUCAUCGUCACCAUCAUCAUCCUCUCGGGAGGGCAACUCUGGGCAUGGUACUUCCUGGUGAGCAAGGGAUUUGGGAAAAUAACCUGGGACACACACGCACGCACACACACACACACACACACACACACACACACACACCACACACACACACACACACACAACACACACACACACACACACACACACACACACACACACACCCCACACACACCACACACACACACACACACACACACACACUACGACUGGUUAUUUGAUAUGUAACAGCGCAGUAAGUCUCUCCCCCUCCCUCCCUCCAGAGUACAGGGUGUGGUACUGGAGCCCAGGGUACAACAGCAGUAUACUGCUAGACUCUCUUAUCCUCAACAGGAACUACUCCUCUGGUCUCUCCUCUCACACCAGCCCAGCCUUCACAGCCCAGGCAAAGGAAGUAAAUAUAUGUAUAGGACAAGGGAUAAUGGGAAAAUAACCGGGACACUCCUUCACGCAUGACCCCCCCCCCUCCACACACAUCUGUAUCGUCUUUAUGUUUCACAACUUUUUAUUUUCAAUUUAAAUCCUCUGUUGCUCUGACUAUUGCCCUCUCUCUUCUCCCUCUCUCUCUUUCUCUCUCUCUCUCUAUAUAUACUGUAUAUAUUAUAUAUAUAUUGUUGUUAUAUAUAUAUAUAUUAUUUCUCUCUCUCAUAUAUAUAAUAUAUAUAUAUAUAUAUAUAUGAAAAUAUUUCUCUCUCUCUAUCCCCCGCCAUCUCUCUCUCACUCUCUGUCUCACAGGUGAGGAGGAUAGUGAAGGGCUCAGACCUAUCUCGCUACUUCAACCCACCAAAGUCUUUGCUUUUGGGUACAUAAAACCAGAUCUAGAAAUACAGGUCCAGAUACAUAUCUAUGUCAUGUAUUUCUAUACCUAGUACUGUAUAUCUAUGACUGUAAAUAUACAGUUGAAGUCGGAAGUUACAUAAACUUUAGCC
rnacentral:lncRNA from 1 species